rnacentral:rRNA from 1 species
AUUGAACGCUGGCGGCAGGCCUAACACAUGCCAGUCGAGCGGAUGAAGGGAGCUUGCUCCUGGAUUCAGCGGCGGACGGGUGAGUAAUGCCUAGGAAUCUGCCUGAUAGUGGGGGAUAACGUCCGGAAACGGGCGCUAAUACCGCAUACGUCCUGAGGGAGAAAGUGGGGGAUCUUCGGACCUCACGCUAUCAGAUGAGCCUAGGUCGGAUUAGCUAGUUGGUGGGGUAAAGGCCUACCAAGGCGACGAUCCGUAACUGGUCUGAGAGGAUGAUCAGUCACACUGGAACUGAGACACGGUCCAGACUCCUACGGGAGGCAGCAGUGGGGAAUAUUGGACAAUGGGCGAAAGCCUGAUCCAGCCAUGCCGCGUGUGUGAAGAAGGUCUUCGGAUUGUAAAGCACUUUAAGUUGGGAGGAAGGGCAGUAAGUUAAUACCUUGCUGUUUUGACGUUACCAACAGAAUAAGCACCGGCUAACUUCGUG